rnacentral:rRNA from 1 species
UACGGAGGGUGCGAGCGUUGUCCGGAAUCAUUGGGCGUAAAGGGCGCGUAGGUGGCCCGGUCAGCGUGCGGUGAAAGCUCGGAGCUCAACCCCGAGUCGGCCGUGCGAACUGCUGGGCUGGAGCACUGUAGAGGCAGGCGGAAUUCCGGGUGUAGCGGUGGAAUGCGUAGAGAUCCGGAAGAACACCGGUGGCGAAGGCGGCCUGCUGGGCAGUGGCUGACACUGAGGCGCGACAGCGUGGGGAGCAAACAGG